GUGGGGAAUAUUGCACAAUGGGGGGAACCCUGAUGCAGCGACGCCGCGUGGGUGAAGGAGUCAUUCGUGACGUAAAGCCCUAUCGGCAGGGAAGAAAGGCGGGCAACACCCGCCAUGACGGUACCUGACUAAGAAGCCCCGGCUAACUACGUGCCAGCAGCCGCGGUAAUACGUAGGGGGCAAGCGUUAUCCGGAUUCACUGGGUGUAAAGGGAGCGUAGACGGCCAGGCAAGCCAGGGGUGAAAGCCCGGGGCCCAACCCCGGGACUGCCCUUGGAACUGCGUGGCUAGAGUGCGGGAGGGGCAGGCGGAAUUCCUGGUGUAGCGGUGAAAUGCGUAGAUAUCAGGAGGAACACCGGCGGCGAAGGCGGCCUGCUGGACCGCGACUGACGUUGAGGCUCGAAAGCGUGGGGAGCGAACAGGA
rnacentral:rRNA from 1 species